rnacentral:tRNA from 1 species
GGGCUCGUAGCUCAGUGGUAGAGCGCCCGCUUGGCGUGCGGGAGGCCAGGGGUUCAAAGCACCUUUUCA